rnacentral:rRNA from 1 species
UACGUAGGGUGCGAGCGUUACUCGGAAUUACUGGGCGUAAAGCGUGCGCAGGCGGUUCGCCAAGUCAGGUGUGAAAUCCCCGGGCUUAACCUGGGAAUUGCGCUUGAAACUAGCGGGCUUGAGUGUGGCAGAGGGGGGUGGAAUUCCACGUGUAGCAGUGAAAUGCGUAGAGAUGUGGAGGAACACCGAUGGCGAAGGCAGCCCGCUGGGUCAACACUGACGCUCAUGCACGAAAGCGUGGGGAGCAAACAGG